GCCUCACAUGCUGUCUGCUCUGCAGGUUCCCAGUGUGUCUCCAGCUACCGUUGGGUGGACUUGUGCAGACAACUGUGAGGCAUCCCUGUUUCAGGUGCUGGGUUCCAUUUGCUGUUCUAGACAUUGCUGCAAAUGAGAUGCUGAGUCCCCAACUUUUAUUUUGAAUUGCCUUAUUCCCCUCUUUCAAUCUGCCUGUUUUGCUUCCUAUAUCUUGGAACUCUUAUCACGGUUAUGCCGUUUUGGUGGAUUUUGUUUCAUCAUGGUAAAACAUACUUAACUUUCUUGAGUGACGGCUUUUGCCUUAAACCCUAUUUUUUCUGGUAUUAGUACAGCUCCUCCCAUUCUCUUUGGGGGGCUGUUUGCAGGGAACAGCUCGUUUCUUCCUUUCAUUUUCAAUUGAUGUGCAUCGUUAAGUCUCAAGUGUGACUUUUUCAGUCAUUAUACCAUUGGAUCAUGGUUUUUGAUCUGCUCUUCCAUUCUCUGCUUUUUCUUUGCAAAGUCUGACCCAUUUACAAACCUGCCUUCACCACUGGAGACCACAGCAGAGACUCAUCUGACCUCCUACCCACAAAGCAUAAACAAUUACUCAUUCCACUCCUUACCAAGGCAUCCUCAAGAAAACUGUGACCUGCCCAUGACCUCUCCUCACUGGGCUCAGCUUCCUCCUCUGCAGGAGAAGUUGGGGCAGAUGCUGAGUCUUUUUUUUUUUUUUCCUUUGCUAUUUUAGACCCACACCCAUGGCAUACAAAUGUUCCCAGGCUAGGGGUUGAAUCAGAGCUGUAGCCACCAGUCUACACCAGAGCCACAGCAACAUGGGAUCCAAGCCACGUCUGCGACCUACACCACAGGUCACGGCCACACUGGAUCCUUAACCCACUGAGUGAGGCCAGGGAUCGAACCCGCAUCCUCAUGGAUCCUAGUUAGGUUUGUUAACCGCUGAGCCAUGAAGGGAACUCCGACACUGACUCUUCUUUUGACCGUCCACCUGUCCAGGGAGAGGCCUGCUCCCGGACCUCCCUCCUGCCUCCAUCACUCAGGAGCUGACAUUGGACCCCUACCUCCCUGUGAGUCAUAAGCACCUGCCACUUCCACCCACCAAACCUGAGUCCUGCCACCCCCUCCCCCUGCUGCCUGUCCUCUGCCCUCUCCACGUGCCACAGGACACCUGCCUGCCACCCAAAAGCUCCUGUGACCUCCUCACUGAGGCCUUGCUGGCUCACCACCUCCCCUCCUCCUACCCAGACGCCCCUCGACGCACAGACCGUCCUGCAGUUUCCCUGAGACGGUGCCACCCAAGCCUGCACCCCAGCAGCUCCCCCACCUGCACUGGGUCCUGGACAGCGUUUUAACAAAACUGACCUCACAUAUUUUUCAGAUUACAUUUACCUUUUUCACCCUAAUAUAUAAUUUCAUAUACAUUGUAAAUAUUGGCAUUUAAAAAAACCUCUUAGAUCUCUUUAGAAUGUAUGCCAUAGAAAACAAAUUUCAUACCAGUUUAAG
rnacentral:lncRNA from 1 species